rnacentral:rRNA from 1 species
CAGUCGCCGCGGGAAUACGUAGGGCGCAAGCGUUAUCCGGAAUUAUUGGGCGUAAAGAGCUCGUAGGCGGUUUGUCGCGUCUGCCGUGAAAGUCCGGGGCUCAACCCCGGAUCUGCGGUGGGUACGGGCAGACUAGAGUGAUGUAGGGGAGACUGGAAUUCCUGGUGUAGCGGUGAAAUGCGCAGAUAUCAGGAGGAACACCGAUGGCGAAGGCAGGUCUCUGGGCAUUAACUGACGCUGAGGAGCGAAAGCAUGGGGAGCGAACAGGAUUAGAUACCCCCGUAGUCCCUGUCUCUUAUAA